rnacentral:rRNA from 1 species
UUAAGCGACUAAGCGUACACGGUGGAUGCCCUGGCAGUCAGAGGCGAUGAAGGACGUGCUAAUCUGCGAUAAGCGUCGGUAAGGUGAUAUGAACCGUUAUAACCGGCGAUUUCCGAAUGGGGAAACCCAGUGUGAUUCGUCACACUAUCAUUAACUGAAUCCAUAGGUUAAUGAGGCGAACCGGGGGAACUGAAACAUCUAAGUACCCCGAGGAAAAGAAAUCAACCGAGAUUCCCCCAGUAGCGGCGAGCGAACGGGGAGCAGCCCAGAGCCUGAAUCAGUGUGUGUGUUAGUGGAAGCGUCUGGAAAGGCGCGCGAUACAGGGUGACAGCCCCGUACACAAAAAUGCACAUACUGUGAGCUCGAUGAGUAGGGCGGGACACGUGGUAUCCUGUCUGAAUAUGGGGGGACCAUCCUCCAAGGCUAAAUACUCCUGACUGACCGAUAGUGAACCAGUACCGUGAGGGAAAGGCGAAAAGAACCCCGGCGAGGGGAGUGAAAAAGAACCUGAAACCGUGUACGUACAAGCAGUGGGAGCACGCUUAGGCGUGUGACUGCGUACCUUUUGUAUAAUGGGUCAGCGACUUAUAUUCUGUAGCAAGGUUAACCGAAUAGGGGAGCCGAAGGGAAACCGAGUCUUAACUGGGCGUUAAGUUGCAGGGUAUAGACCCGAAACCCGGUGAUCUAGCCAUGGGCAGGUUGAAGGUUGGGUAACACUAACUGGAGGACCGAACCGACUAAUGUUGAAAAAUUAGCGGAUGACUUGUGGCUGGGGGUGAAAGGCCAAUCAAACCGGGAGAUAGCUGGUUCUCCCCGAAAGCUAUUUAGGUAGCGCCUCGUGAAUUCAUCUCCGGGGGUAGAGCACUGUUUCGGCAAGGGGGUCAUCCCGACUUACCAACCCGAUGCAAACUGCGAAUACCGGAGAAUGUUAUCACGGGAGACACACGGCGGGUGCUAACGUCCGUCGUGAAGAGGGAAACAACCCAGACCGCCAGCUAAGGUCCCAAAGUCAUGGUUAAGUGGGAAACGAUGUGGGAAGGCCCAGACAGCCAGGAUGUUGGCUUAGAAGCAGCCAUCAUUUAAAGAAAGCGUAAUAGCUCACUGGUCGAGUCGGCCUGCGCGGAAGAUGUAACGGGGCUAAACCAUGCACCGAAGCUGCGGCAGCGACGCUGAUGCGUUGUUGGGUAGGGGAGCGUUCUGUAAGCCUGUGAAGGUGUGCUGUGAGGCAUGCUGGAGGUAUCAGAAGUGCGAAUGCUGACAUAAGUAACGAUAAAGCGGGUGAAAAGCCCGCUCGCCGGAAGACCAAGGGUUCCUGUCCAACGUUAAUCGGGGCAGGGUGAGUCGACCCCUAAGGCGAGGCCGAAAGGCGUAGUCGAUGGGAAACAGGUUAAUAUUCCUGUACUUGGUGUUACUGCGAAGGGGGGACGGAGAAGGCUAUGUUGGCCGGGCGACGGUUGUCCCGGUUUAAGCGUGUAGGCUGGUUUUCCAGGCAAAUCCGGAAAAUCAAGGCUGAGGCGUGAUGACGAGGCACUACGGUGCUGAAGCAACAAAUGCCCUGCUUCCAGGAAAAGCCUCUAAGCAUCAGGUAACAUCAAAUCGUACCCCAAACCGACACAGGUGGUCAGGUAGAGAAUACCAAGGCGCUUGAGAGAACUCGGGUGAAGGAACUAGGCAAAAUGGUGCCGUAACUUCGGGAGAAGGCACGCUGAUAUGUAGGUGAAGCGACUUGCUCGUGGAGCUGAAAUCAGUCGAAGAUACCAGCUGGCUGCAACUGUUUAUUAAAAACACAGCACUGUGCAAACACGAAAGUGGACGUAUACGGUGUGACGCCUGCCCGGUGCCGGAAGGUUAAUUGAUGGGGUCAGCGCAAGCGAAGCUCUUGAUCGAAGCCCCGGUAAACGGCGGCCGUAACUAUAACGGUCCUAAGGUAGCGAAAUUCCUUGUCGGGUAAGUUCCGACCUGCACGAAUGGCGUAAUGAUGGCCAGGCUGUCUCCACCCGAGACUCAGUGAAAUUGAACUCGCUGUGAAGAUGCAGUGUACCCGCGGCAAGACGGAAAGACCCCGUGAACCUUUACUAUAGCUUGACACUGAACAUUGAGCCUUGAUGUGUAGGAUAGGUGGGAGGCUUUGAAGUGUGGACGCCAGUCUGCAUGGAGCCG